GAUGAACGCUAGCUACAGGCUUAACACAUGCAAGUCGAGGGGAAACGAUAUUGGAAGCUUGCUUCCGAUAGGCGUCGACCGGCGCACGGGUGAGUAACGCGUAUCCAACCUGCCCACCACUUGGGGAUAACCUUGCGAAAGUAAGACUAAUACCCAAUGAUAUCUCUAGAAGACAUCUGAAAGAGAUUAAAAGAUUUAUCGGUGAUGGAUGGGGAUGCGUCUGAUUAGCUUGUUGGCGGGGUAACGGCCCACCAAGGCAACGAUCAGUAGGGGUUCUGAGAGGAAGGUCCCCCACAUUGGAACUGAGACACGGUCCAAACUCCUACGGGAGGCAGCAGUGAGGAAUAUUGGUCAAUGGGCGAGAGCCUGAACCAGCCAAGUAGCGUGCAGGAUGACGGCCCUAUGGGUUGUAAACUGCUUUUAUAAGGGAAUAAAAGUGGGUCACGUGUGACUUUUUGCAUGUACCUUAUGAAUAAGACCGGCUAAUUCCGUGCCAGCAGCCG
rnacentral:rRNA from 1 species